rnacentral:rRNA from 1 species
CAGUAGCCGCGGUAAUACGGAGGGAGCUAGCGUUGUUCGGAAUUACUGGGCGUAAAGCGCGCGUAGGCGGUUACUCAAGUCAGAGGUGAAAGCCCGGGGCUCAACCCCGGAACUGCCUUUGAAACUAGGUGACUAGAAUCUUGGAGAGGUCAGUGGAAUUCCGAGUGUAGAGGUGAAAUUCGUAGAUAUUCGGAAGAACACCAGUGGCGAAGGCGGCUCACUGGCUCAUACUGGACGCUGAGGUGCGAAAGCGUGGGGAGCAAACAGGAUUAGAUACCCGCGUAGUCCCUGUCUCUUAUAC